AGCGCAUACGGUGGAUGCCUUGGCAGUCAGAGGCGAUGAAAGACGUGGUAGCCUGCGAAAAGCUUCGGGGAGUCGGCAAACAGACUUUGAUCCGGAGAUGUCUGAAUGGGGGAACCCAGCCAUCAUAAGAUGGUUAUCUUGUACUGAAUACAUAGGUGCAAGAGGCGAACCAGGGGAACUGAAACAUCUAAGUACCCUGAGGAAAAGAAAUCAACCGAGAUUCCCUUAGUAGUGGCGAGCGAACGGGGACUAGCCCUUAAGUGGCUUUGAGAUUAGCGGAACGCUCUGGAAAGUGCGGCCAUAGUGGGUGAUAGCCCUGUACGCGAAAAUCUCUUAGUCAUGAAAUCGAGUAGGACGGGGCACGAGAAACCUUGUCUGAAUAUGGGGGGACCAUCCUCCAAGGCUAAAUACUACUGACUGACCGAUAGUGAACUAGUACCGUGAGGGAAAGGCGAAAAGAACCCCGGAGAGGGGAGUGAAAUAGAUCCUGAAACCGUAUGCGUACAAGCAGUGGGAGCCCACUUUGUUGGGUGACUGCGUACCUUUUGUAUAAUGGGUCAGCGACUUAUUUUCAGUGGCGAGCUUAACCGAAUAGGGGAGGCGUAGCGAAAGCGAGUCUUAAUAGGGCGUCUAGUCGCUGGGAAUAGACCCGAAACCGGGCGAUCUAUCCAUGGGCAGGUUGAAGGUUAGGUAACACUGACUGGAGGACCGAACCGACUACCGUUGAAAAGUUAGCGGAUGACCUGUGGAUCGGAGUGAAAGGCUAAUCAAGCUCGGAGAUAGCUGGUUCUCCUCGAAAGCUAUUUAGGUAGCGCCUCAUGUAUCACUGUAGGGGGUAGAGCACUGUUUCGGCUAGGGGGUCAUCCCGACUUACCAAACCGAUGCAAACUCCGAAUACCUACAAGUGCCGAGCAUGGGAGACACACGGCGGGUGCUAACGUCCGUCGUGAAAAGGGAAACAACCCAGACCGUCAGCUAAGGUCCCAAAGUCAUGGUUAAGUGGGAAACGAUGUGGGAAGGCUUAGACAGCUAGGAGGUUGGCUUAGAAGCAGCCACCCUUUAAAGAAAGCGUAAUAGCUCACUAGUCGAGUCGGCCUGCGCGGAAGAUGUAACGGGGCUCAAACCAUGCACCGAAGCUACGGGUAUCACUUAGGUGAUGCGGUAGAGGAGCGUUCUGUAAGCCUGUGAAGGUGAGUUGAGAAGCUUGCUGGAGGUAUCAGAAGUGCGAAUGCUGACAUGAGUAACGACAAUGGGUGUGAAAAACACCCACGCCGAAAGACCAAGGUUUCCUGCGCAACGUUAAUCGACGCAGGGUUAGUCGGUCCCUAAGGCGAGGCUGAAAAGCGUAGUCGAUGGAAAACAGGUUAAUAUUCCUGUACUUCUGGUUAUUGCGAUGGAGGGACGGAGAAGGCUAGGCCAGCUUGGCGUUGGUUGUCCAAGUUUAAGGUGGUAGGCUGGAAUCUUAGGUAAAUCCGGGAUUCUAAGGCCGAGAGCUGAUGACGAGUGUUCUUUUAGAACACGAAGUGGUUGAUGCCAUGCUUCCAAGAAAAGCUUCUAAGCUUCAGGUAACCAGGAACCGUACCCCAAACCGACACAGGUGGUUGGGUAGAGAAUACCAAGGCGCUUGAGAGAACUCGGGUGAAGGAACUAGGCAAAAUGGCACCGUAACUUCGGGAGAAGGUGCGCCGGUGAGGGUGAAGGACUUGCUCCGUAAGCUCAUGCCGGUCGAAGAUACCAGGCCGCUGCGACUGUUUAUUAAAAACACAGCACUCUGCAAACACGAAAGUGGACGUAUAGGGUGUGACGCCUGCCCGGUGCCGGAAGGUUAAUUGAUGGGGUUAGCUAACGCGAAGCUCUUGAUCGAAGCCCCGGUAAACGGCGGCCGUAACUAUAACGGUCCUAAGGUAGCGAAAUUCCUUGUCGGGUAAGUUCCGACCUGCACGAAUGGCGUAACGAUGGCGGCGCUGUCUCCACCCGAGACUCAGUGAAAUUGAAAUCGCUGUGAAGAUGCAGUGUAUCCGCGGCUAGACGGAAAGACCCCGUGAACCUUUACUAUAGCUUUGCACUGGACUUUGAAUUUGCUUGUGUAGGAUAGGUGGGAGGCUUUGAAGCGUGGACGCCAGUUCGCGUGGAGCCAUCCUUGAAAUACCACCCUGGCAACUUUGAGGUUCUAACUCAGGUCCGUUAUCCGGAUCGAGGACAGUGUAUGGUGGGUAGUUUGACUGGGGCGGUCUCCUCCUAAAGAGUAACGGAGGAGUACGAAGGUGCGCUCAGACCGGUCGGAAAUCGGUCGUAGAGUAUAAAGGCAAAAGCGCGCUUGACUGCGAGACAGACACGUCGAGCAGGUACGAAAGUAGGUCUUAGUGAUCCGGUGGUUCUGUAUGGAAGGGCCAUCGCUCAACGGAUAAAAGGUACUCCGGGGAUAACAGGCUGAUACCGCCCAAGAGUUCAUAUCGACGGCGGUGUUUGGCACCUCGAUGUCGGCUCAUCACAUCCUGGGGCUGAAGCCGGUCCCAAGGGUAUGGCUGUUCGCCAUUUAAAGUGGUACGCGAGCUGGGUUUAGAACGUCGUGAGACAGUUCGGUCCCUAUCUGCCGUGGACGUUUGAGAUUUGAGAGGGGCUGCUCCUAGUACGAGAGGACCGGAGUGGACGAACCUCUGGUGUUCCGGUUGUCACGCCAGUGGCAUUGCCGGGUAGCUAUGUUCGGAAAAGAUAACCGCUGAAAGCAUCUAAGCGGGAAACUUGCCUCAAGAUGAGAUCUCACUGGAACCUUGA
rnacentral:rRNA from 1 species